rnacentral:rRNA from 1 species
GCGAGGCGGAGCGAAUCCCUAAAAGACCGUCCCAUUCGGAUUGCAGGCUGCAACCCGCCUGCAUGAAGUUGGAAUCGCUAGUAAUCGCGGAUCAGCAUGCCGCGGUGAAUACGUUCCCGGGCCUUGUACACACCGCCCGUCACACCAUGAGAGUCGGGGACACCCGAAGUCCGUAGUCUAACCGCAAGGGGACGCGGCCGAAGGUGGAUUCGAUAAUUGGGGUGAAGUCGUAACAAGGUAUC